GGAUCUGGUAAAGUCGUUGAGAAGUUCUAUGAGUUCCUCGCGGUCCAAUAAAGAACCUGCAGGAAACUUCACCCCCAGGAUGGACCAGAAGAACACCACAGGCAGUGGGUCCGCUCUGAGGCAUUGGAUCUAUUUCCUGGCUAAUCUGAUUCCAGACCUCCUGCUGCCAGCAUCGAUAAAUCCCAGGACCCGGUCCAGCAGAGCUCCCAGGUAUCUGGACCGGUCCUGCUCUCCGUGGGUGAUCCCAGCUCCCAUUAAAGGGUUCUGGUCCAGAACCAGCAGGACGGUUCCAACACGUGUUUCCACAUGAAGCAGUAUUUGGACACCAUAUGUAGUACUUUACCAGGCCAGCAGCUGGAGGUCGACCUGGCAGGAACCCUGACAGAACAAACACCAGAGAAGAAGAGGCUGGACCUGGACCUGGAUCUGGACCCGUUUCUGGUGACGUUAAUGGAUCCGGACGUUCAGGUUUCAGGUCUUAUCUCGGAUCUGGUUGUUUUGGAGCUGAACCAGGUCCCAGAUUAAACCUGGACCAGAUCUUCUGAGGUUCUUCUAAAUGGAUCCACCUGUUCCUGAUGAGCUGCAGGUCUCUGGUUCCAUCUGAUCAGAGCUGAAAUAAACCUGGAGACAGAUGGAGGAGGAAUCAGACCUGUUCAGAGAAACACCCAGAGGUCCACCAGCUGGAGAUAAAUCAGGUCUCAGACAUCUUCAUCUGGACCACCAAGAAACGCAGAAAAACUGAAAUUCAACACAGAAAGAUCCUAAAAAAAGGUUCAAAAUCCUGCUCAAACUAAAAAAAAAAACUUCACAGACCUAGUAGAAAAAAAAACACACAGAAUCAUUUUAAAACAUGAAUUCUCUUUAAAACCUCGUUAUUUAUCCAUAAAACCUCAUUAUUUAUCUAUAAAACUUCAUUAUUUAUCUUUACAAACUCAUUAAUCCUGUAUAAAGCCUCUUUAAUUCACGCUAAAUCCUCAUUAUUAAACCUUAAAACCUCAUUAAUUCUCUAUAAAACUUCAAAAAUGUCUGUUAAUAACGGUAAAAAAGAUAAAAUAUCAAUAAAACAUCUACAAAAAACAACCUCAAAGAGACAAAAAAAACAAAAAAAAAAUCACAGACAAAAAACAAAGACUGAACGACACCAAGUGUUUCAUGCUAGUGGCACCAUUAGCUGGCUAGCUGCUAGUGGCACCAUUAGCUCGCUAGCUGCUAACGUUAGCUCAUUAAAAAUAAACUGUUUCUGUCAUCAGGAGUUUAUAGAUUCCAUCUUUUAUUUCUUUGUUGUGUCGUUUUAAUGAUCAAUAAAAAGUUUUUCUAUCCCUUUAAGGAUCCAUCAGAAGGUUCCAGAACAUUCCUCAGAUUAACUUCAUGACUUAGAAGCUUUCAGGAAAG
ensembl:lncRNA